CCUACGGGUGGCUGCAGUAGGGAAUAUUGGACAAUGGGCGCAAGCCUGAUCCAGCCAUCCCGCGUGAAGGAUUAAGGCCCUCUGGGUUGUAAACUUCUUUUCUUUGGGAAUAAAAACUCCGAUUCAUCGGAGCUUGAAGGUACCAGAGGAAUAAGCACCGGCUAACUCCGUGCCAGCAGCCGCGGUAAUACGGAGGGUGCAGGCGUUAUCCGGAUUAACUGGGUUGUAGGGGUGUUUGUAAGUCUGUGGUGAAAGCCCGGAGCUCAACUCCGGAACUGCCAUUGAUACUGCUUAGCUUGAAUCAGGGCGAGGUGGAUGGAAUAUUACAUGUAGCGGUGAAAUGCUUAGAUAUGUAAUAGAACACCGAUUGCGAAGGCAGUUCACUAGGCCUGUAUUGACACUGAGGCACGAAAGCGUGGGGAUCAAACAGGAUUAGAUACCCCAGUAGUC
rnacentral:rRNA from 1 species